GGGCAUUCCUUGCAAAGAAACUCUGUCAUAGAUGGUGCCAGUUUUCUUUGUCCUUUGUGGUCCACAGUACCUUCAUAUGCCACAGUCACAUCAUACACUGCAUCCAGAUAGUCUUUCAUUGUGUCGAUUGCUACGUGAGUUGCCUUCACACGUGGCGUUAGCACAUGCUUCAAUACAGCAAGUCCUUCUUUUUCAGCAAAUGAUUGACUGUCUGCAAUGACUUUUGGUAUCUCUGGAUUGUAACGAGUCCCCUCUGGAAAAAUCACUAAAUACAUCGGAGUCUCAGCUUUCAUCUGGGCCCGCAACUUUGCUCUCAUUUCUUUUUCAUUGAAUUUGGCACUUCUUUUUACAUAGACUCCUCCAUGCUGUGAAAAAUACCACCCGUACAAUGGAAGCCACUUUAAUCCAUCUUUCAAAACAUAUCGGACAUGCCCAAGUGCAUUCUGCCUAAUUGCCAACAUGUCCGCAAUGAUCCAAUCAACUGUACACUGAUGAUUUGAUAAAUAUAUUAUAUUUUCUUUAUUUUUUGGCAAGUCCCCAUAGAUUAUUACCUGCACGCCCGCGUAGUUCUCGAAGAAGAAGAGCACCAUGCUCUGGUAGAUGGUGUAGAGGCGGUCGUCCACCUCCCGGUAGAAGCGGGCGGGGAGGACGGCGGAGAGCAGGCGCCAGGCGCCCCAGGCCAGCACGUAGGUGGGCGCCGUGCCCAUCAUGACGGCGGCGGGCAGGAAGUAGCGCAUGGAGUAUGUGUGCAGCACCAGCGACAGCAGCAUCUUCCCGCUCGCUCCCGGCCUCACCGGGACACCCACAUGGGCAACGCACUCAGACACGGCCCGCCGGGCCCGCCGGCCCCAUCGCCGCCGCGCUGGGCAGAGCAGAGCCGCCGGGCGGGAGGCGGGGGGGGGGGGAUCAGCAGUAGCGGCCGCCCCCAGCAGGGAGGCGCGGAGCGGGCACCGGCUCACAGCUCCCCUAACGCCGCCUCCGCCACCAUAUUGCCCGGCCGGGGGAGGAGCCGCGCCGGCAGGAAGGCGGCCCCUCGUUGCCUGCGGGGAACUUCCGGGCCGGCCGGCCGGGCGCGGGGUGGCUCUGACCGGGUGGUCCCACAGCCUCUACCGCGGGUGUGUGAGGUGGCUGCGGCAGCCCCGGCCCGAGGGAGCCGUGCUGGAGGCGUGUCCGGCGGUGCAGCGAGGCGCUCGCCUCGUGAGCUGCAAGGAGCGUUCAUUUAAAUGCAGCAUGGUGUAAUUGAAGCCAGCUUGGGUUUUUUCACCCUCUCGUUUUUGCGGCACUAAGAACAGAUGUGUCACUUUCAGCGCCUCCGCGCGCAUUCGUAGCCGUUGUGCAUCUCCUGUCCCCUCACGUUCCAGCUCGGGCCCCCAGUAGCUCUGUAAGAGCAGCCCCGAAAAUGCAGAAAUGCAAUAGGUCCCCUAGAAAGCAGCUGUGUCUUCUCCAAGAGGAAGCUUAGUAUGAAACCUUCUCUGCAGUGAGAUCUCGCUCAUUUUCCAUGCUUCAUAGUUUUUGUAUUUCUAACAAAACGCUUCACUUUCCCUGCUCCAAAAGGAGGUGAUGGCGGACUUUCUGCCGGUCCCCAUCGGUGUUCACAUAUCUGUCCCCAGUGAAAAUAUCACCCCGUCUCGGGACUACCAGGAGAGGCGCUUUCCCCAUCAUGGCCUCUUUUGGCAGGCGCUUGUGAGCUAUAAUCCAGGCAAUCCUACACUGGCUAGAUGGAAAAUUGAGGAAGGAGCUCCUGUUUUGCACUGCCUACAGCAUGGCCACAUGGAAGAGAAAGCAAUUCACCACAAUGCAGGAUGGAGAAAGUAGUCCAAGUCAGUACAGAGCAGGUAAAGCUAGGGCCAGGAAGACACAAUGAGGUGUACAUGAACAAACACUCUUGUGCAACUGGAAUGGUGGGACAGGCUUGGGAGGAUCCAGACAUGCUGCUUCACAAAGGAGACUGCGGAGAGGCUAGGUUUCAGGGCAACGAGGUGUGCUUGGCUAAUUACACUGCAGUUAAAAGUAGAAAAUAAUGUGAGCUGGAAUUGGGAAAUGGCAGAGGGUUGGGAAAAUGUGGGGAAAUUCACCUGGCUGAACUUAAAGGCAGACUGUGAGCUUGUGAGAUGGGAUUGAAGUCUCAAGUGAACAGGCUGAAAAUCUGUGUUAGAGUGAAGAGAAUGUGAAAGGAAUAUAAGCAUUUGUAUGAAGGAAUGAACUUGUGACGUCUGAUUCUGUAUACAUACAAUCGUAUCUUUCCUUCCAGGGCUACUGUGAAGAUAAGUUCACUCAUACUUCUGAAAAACUUAGGUAUUAUUAAAAAAAUCUGCGGAAAUGAACAAUUCUGUCGCUG
rnacentral:lncRNA from 1 species